UCCUCCCUCCCUCGGCGCAGCCCGGCCCAGGGGUCUGUCCUCCCAGGCCCAGGAAAGGAGGAAACCCACUUCCGCCGCGUCCAUGAUCUCCCGCGGCUUCUCCUGACUCUUGCGGCUGGCGCUGGCGCUGGGCAUCGGGACACGGAACUGGGCAGUGGACACCACCCUCCCUCGCAGGCUUCCCCCUUUCAACUCCGCUCGGCUGUAACCGCAGACUCGUCACUAAAACACCCACCUAAGCGCGGGCCUUGGUUUCUCCUCUCUUGGACUUUCCCGCCUUCUCUCUUCCCCUGGGCGACGUAGCUGCUUGGGGACGGAGGAGGCCUCUUCGCAAUCCAUUGCCCUGCUUGUUGGGACAGAGGAGUGCAGUUGGCUUGCCAAGGCAGCAUGGGUUACCAGUCCCUGUGUAAGUGAGGUGUAAAUACAGUGGCAACGACAACAA
ensembl:lncRNA DARS1-AS1 DARS1 antisense RNA 1